GACGGAGGAUGCAAGUGUUAUCCGGAAUCACUGGGCGUAAAGCGUCUGUAGGUGGUUUAAAAAAGUCCACUGUUAAAGGUUGAAGCUUAACUUCAAAGAUGCCGGUGGAAACUUUUAAACUUGAGUAUGAUAGGGGUAGAGGGAAUUUCCAGUGGAGCGGUGAAAUGCGUAGAUAUUGGAAAGACCACCAAUGGCGAAGGCACUCUACUGGGCCAUUACUGACACUGAGAGACGAAAGCUAGGGGGAGCGAAUGGG
rnacentral:rRNA from 1 species